rnacentral:rRNA from 1 species
AUUGAACGCUGGCGGCAGGCCUAACACAUGCAAGUCGAGCGAGUGGCGGACGGGUGAGUAAUGUCUGGGGAUCUGCCCGAUAGAGGGGGAUAACUACUGGAAACGGUGGCUAAUACCGCAUACUAUCGGAUGUACCCAUAUGGGAUUAGCUAGUAGGUGGGGUAAAGGCGUACCUAGGCGACGAUCCAUAGCCGGCCUGAGAGGAUGAUCAGCCACACUGGGACUGAGACACGGCCCAGACUCCUACGGGAGGCAGCAGUGGGGAAUAUUGGACAAUGGGCGCAAGCCUGAUGGAGCCAUGCCGCGUGUGUGAAGAAGGUUUUAGGGUUGUAAAGUACUUUCGGCGGGGAGGCGUUUCCUGCAGAAGAAGCACAGGGUUACUCCGGGCCAGCAGCCGCGGUAAUAC